UUUAGCGUAUAAAAGAGAAAAAAGAAGGCCUGGCGCGCAGUAGCAUGACCGCCAUUUGAGAGUUGGCAUAAUCCUUCUCUGGCGCGAGCCCUUUCGGUUCCUUUGCUCUCGACUGAAACUUCAUGGUGUCGCAAAAAUAGCGCGCUGGAAAACAUUCCGAGCAAAAGAACAUCGGUGCCGCAUCCAUCCUUUAUAAAUCAUUGGCGAUCGACGUUAAUCGGUAGCAAACCCGACGUCUGACGAGAUGCCACCCGCAAAGAACAGCAAGGUUCCCCCGUUCCUUUCCACCGGCCCCUCGUCUGUUGCCUCACCUCUGCUGGUGGCGCUUGCCGUGCUUUCGGUCCUGCUGCCUCUGACCCGAGGACAAUGCAUUAGCUAUUUGUGCUACCAGCAGUGCCAGUACAGCGGCCGUGGGCCCGGCACGUGCCUGCCCCGCUACUACGGCAACAUGCGAUACCUGGUGUGCACGUGUUACGACUCCAUCUACUAUAACUUGCCUGACCGACAUUUCAACUACCUGGACACGAAGGGCCAGCAGCAGCAACAGCAGCAGCGAAUAUUCUUCCCACGCUGAGGGGACACGAAAGACCGUCGAAGAUACAGCCACCGAGAUCCCGCUUCGGCCUGAAGGACAGAAUCAUUAUGAUAAUAAAACCAAAGACUCCAAUGGC